rnacentral:rRNA from 1 species
UACGGGGGGGGCAAGCGUUGUUCGGAAUUACUGGGCGUAAAGGGCGCGUAGGCGGCUCAUCAAGUCGGGCGUGAAAUCUCCGGGCUUAACCUGGAAAAGUCGUUCGAUACUGUUGAGCUAGAGUGUGGAAGAGGCUACUGGAAUUCCGUGUGUAGCGGUGAAAUGCGUAGAUAUACGGAGGAACACCUGCGGCGAAGGCGGCUUCCUGGACCGACACUGACGCUGAGGCGCGAAAGCUAGGGGAGCAAACGGG